GACGAACGCUGGCGGCGUGCUUAACACAUGCAAGUCGAACGGAAAGGCCCUGCUUUUGUGGGGUGCUCGAGUGGCGAACGGGUGAGUAACACGUGAGUAACCUGCCCUUGACUUUGGGAUAACUUCAGGAAACUGGGGCUAAUACCGGAUAGGAGCUCCUGCUGCAUGGUGGGGGGUGGAAAGGUUCGGCGGUUGGGGAUGGACUCGCGGCUUAGCAGCGUGUUGGGGGGGUAGUGGCUUACCAAGGCUUUGACGGGUAGCCGGCCUGAGAGGGUGACCGGCCACCUUGGGACUGCGAUACGGCCCAGACUCCUACGGGAGGCAGCAGUGGGGAAUAUUGCACAAUGGGCGGAAGCCUGAUGCAGCAACGCCGCGUGCGGGAUGACGGCCUUCGGGUUGUAAACCGCUUUCGCCUGUGACGAAGCGUGAGUGACGGUAAUGGGUAAAGAAGCACCGGCUAACUACGUG
rnacentral:rRNA from 1 species